rnacentral:rRNA from 1 species
GAUGAACGCUGGCGGCGUGCCUAAUACAUGCCAGUCGAGCGAACAGACGAGGAGCUUGCUCCUCUGACGUUAGCGGCGGACGGGUGAGUAACACGUGGAUAACCUACCUAUAAGACUGGGAUAACUUCGGGAAACCGGAGCUAAUACCGGAUAAUAUAUUGAACCGCAUGGUUCAAUAGUGAAAGACGGUUUUGCUGUCACUUAUAGAUGGAUCCGCGCCGCAUUAGCUAGUUGGUAAGGUAACGGCUUACCAAGGCAACGAUGCGUAGCCGACCUGAGAGGGUGAUCGGCCACACUGGAACUGAGACACGGUCCAGACUCCUACGGGAGGCAGCAGUAGGGAAUCUCCCGCAAUGGGCGAAAGCCUGACGGAGCAACGCCGCGUGAGUGAUGAAGGUCUUCGGAUCGUAAAACUCUGUUAUUAGGGAAGAACAAAUGUGUAAGUAACUAUGCACGUCUUGACGGUACCUAAUCAGAAAGCCACGGCUAACUACGUG